rnacentral:rRNA from 1 species
UACAGAGGUCUCAAGCGUUGUUCGGAUUCAUUGGGCGUAAAGGGUGCGUAGGUGGCUGGGUAAGUCUGGUGUGAAAUCCUGGGGCUCAACCCCGGAACUGCACUGGAUACUGCUUUGCUAGAGUACUGGAGAGGGAACUGGAAUUUACGGUGUAGCAGUGAAAUGCGUAGAUAUCGUAAGGAAGACCAGUGGCGAAGGCGAGUUCCUGGACAGUUACUGACACUGAGGCACGAAGGCCAGGGGAGCAAACGGG